rnacentral:rRNA from 1 species
CCAGACUCCUACGGGAGGCAGCAGUGGGGAAUAUUGCGCAAUGGGGGAAACCCUGACGCAGCAACGCCGCGUGAGUGAAGAAGUAUCUCGGUAUGUAAAGCUCUAUCAGCGGGGAAGAAGGAAGACGGUACCCGACUAAGAAGCCCCGGCUAACUACGUGCCAGCAGCCGCGGUAAUACGUAGGGGGCGAGCGUUAUCCGGAUUUACUGGGUGUAAAGGGAGCGUAGACGGCGGCGCAAGUCUGAAGUGAAAGCCCGUGGCUCAACCGCGGAACCGCUUUGGAAACUGGCAAACUGGAGUGUGUGAGAGGAUAGUGGAAUUCCAGGUGUAGGGGUGAAAUCCGUAGAUAUCUGGAGGAACAUCAGUGGCGAAGGCGACUAUCUGGCACAUAACUGACGCUGAGGAGCGAAAGCGUGGGUAGCAAACAGGAUUAGAUACCCCGGUAC